rnacentral:rRNA from 1 species
AUACGAAGGGGGCUAGCAUUGCUCGGAAUUACUGGGCGUAAAGCGCACGUAGGCGGGUGAUUAAGUCAGAGGUGAAAGCCUAGAGCUCAACUCCAGAACUGCCUUUGAUACUGAUCAUCUUGAGUUUGUGAGAGGUGAGUGGAAUACCGAGUGUAGAGGUGAAAUUCGUAGAUAUUCGGUGGAACACCAGUGGCGAAGGCGACUCACUGGCACAAUACUGACGCUGAGGUGCGAAAGCGUGGGGAUC